rnacentral:rRNA from 1 species
GCCAGACUCCUACGGGAGGCAGCAGUGAGGAAUAUUGGUCAAUGGGCGGAAGCCUGAACCAGCCAAGUCGCGUGAGGGACUAAGGCCCUGCGGGUCGUAAACCUCUUUUGCCGGGGAGCAGUGGUCCGGACGCGUCCGGACCGGGAGAGUACCCGGAGAAAAAGCAUCGGCUAACUCCGUGCCAGCAGCCGCGGUAAUACGGAGGAUGCGAGCGUUAUCCGGAUUUAUUGGGUUUAAAGGGUGCGCAGGCGGGAGAUCAAGUCAGCGGUAAAAUGUCGGGGCUCAACCCCGGCCGGCCGUUGAAACUGGUUUUCUAGAGUUGGAGAGAAGUAUGCGGAAUUCGUGGUGUAGCGGUGAAAUGCAUAGAUAUCACGCAGAACUCCGAUUGCGAAGGCAGCAUACCGGCGCUCAACUGACGCUCAUGCACGAAAGCGUGGGUAUCGAACAGGAUUAGAUACCCGUGUA